UUCCCCUAGUAACUGCGAGUGAAGCGGGAAAAGCUCAAAUUUAAAAUCUGGCAGCUCUUUUUUUUCUUCUUUGGCUGUCUGAGUUGUAAUCUAGAGAAGUGCUUACCUGCACUGGACCAUGUAUAAGUCUCCUGGAAUGGAGCCUCACAGAGGGUGAGAAUCCCGUCUUUGACAUGGACUGCCAGUGUGUUGUGGUGUGCUCUCAAAGAGUCGAGUUGUUUGGGAAUGCAGCUCUNAAUGGGUGGUAAACUCCAUCUAAAGCUAAAUAUUGGCGAGAGACCGAUAGCGAACAAGUACCGUGAGGGAAAGAUGAAAAGGACUUUGGAAAGAGAGUUAAACAGUAUGUGAAAUUGUUGAAAGGGAAACGCUUGAAGUCAGUUAUGUUGGCUAGGGAUCAACCUAGCUAUUUAUUGCUGGGUGAAUUUCCUAGUCUGACAGGCCAAUGUCAGUCUUGACUGCUAGAAAAGAGCAGAGGGAAUGUGGCACCUUUGGGUGUGUUAUAGCUCUUUGUCAUAUGUGGCAGUUGGGACUGAGGGAUGCAGCGUGCCGUGAGGCUGGGUUUCGACCACGUUCGCGCUUAGGAUGUUGGCUUUUAAUGGCUUCAAUCGACCCGUCUUGAAACACGGACCAAGGAGUCUAACAUGCCUGCAAGUGUUUGGGUGGUGAAAACCCUUGUGCACAAUGAAAGUGAAAGUUGAGAUCCCUGUCAUGGGGAGCAUCGACGCCCGGACCUGAGCUUUUAGCAAAGGAUCUGCGGUAGAGCAUGCAUGUUGGGACCCGAAAGAUGGUGAACUAUGCCUGAAUAGGGCAAAUCCAGAGGAAACUCUGGYGGAGGCUCGUAGCGAUUCUGACGUGCAAAUCGAUCGUCAAA
rnacentral:rRNA from 1 species